GCAUUGCUGAGGAGUUCCACAAUAGGACGAAACGGCCGUCCAGUGU
rnacentral:hammerhead_ribozyme from 1 species